GGUGGUAGGCUACACUGGCCUGUUGGGGCUACAGGGAACUUUUGGGUAUUGCCAUCUUCCUUGAAACAGAAAGUGCACCAAUGUUUGAGCUAUUCAGAGCUUGCUUGUGAUUAAAAUGACCUUGGUUCAUAAAAGACCCUGGCCUUUCGGUCUAACUAUGUACACUUCUGCUUUCCUCUGGGCCUGGAACCAUUUUGUCUGGUGAUCCUAAUUCUGUCUUCCUCAUUUGCUUGAGAUUGCAGUUGUUGGCUAGUGGUGACUGUAUGACCUCACUGGUUUGAGGUCUGGCCAGUCCCCCAGGGCUCCAGUGUGGGCUCCGUGGGCCAUGCUGGCCGGGGUUGUUAGGGAGGCCUAGUGAUUUGCACCAUCAGGAGUAAAAGAGGUCAUUGGUCCUCUUAACCAAGGAUAGCAUUAUCCUCAAUCCAAAUUAUCCUACUGUGUACUUGAAGAAACUGAGACAGAGCUGAACUUCAAACCAGGCAGUCUAACUCCAGACUCUCCAGGUGCCUUAUGAAGCACCUGUCCUGGAAAGGCCUCGGUCAUCAGCCUGCCUGACUCCCCAGGAGGCCACACGGGAUUUUACUUCCAUUCAUCAAGUUUGUUGCAUGACAAUGCCACUCUUUUCCAUGCUCUGCCCCUUUGCCAGUCCAUCCUACACCCAAUCCCAAUUGCAGCAUCUGCCUCAAAACCUCCUGGCCACAUAGACCACUGCAGUGGGCUGCCUGCCAGGCCUGCCCUUGCACCUGUGGCAUAUUUAGUAAGUCAGGAUGUCCACAUUAACAAUCUGGACAUGUUGACUGAUUCAGACAUUACAUAUGGUGAUUGCAAAGGUGCUGUCUUAUGCAAUCCUAAGAGUGAAUUCUAAACAUUUCCUCCUACUGCCUCAUAUGGGUGUCAGUUUGUAGAAUGGGGAGGGGUUAAACUAUUCCCUGUACUUUGUUUGGUCAAUUCUUUUGGCUCUCCAUGGUUUUAAUAGAAGUGUGAUUCAGUGUGGUUGGGUAGGAGCAGAUGAAGAGAGAGACAGAAUUCUCUUCUGCUGCCCUUGGGGCCCCUCUUGGGCAGACAGCUUUUGGGCCACUGGGUGCUCUAUAUUGGGGAAUAUGUAAGAAGUCUGUAUGACAUUGCUCCUUCCUGCCAAGUGACCUCACAGACUUGGGGUACAGUGCAUAGAGAACCAGGCCCACAUCACUGCCUGUGGCAGCAGUGUAGCUCAUAGCAACACGAGCCACCAGACAGAGAAGCCCAUCGCCAUGAUGGCCUCCACAUUAGGUGGUUUUGCCUCUCUGGGAAGACACAAGUCCUUUCCUAAUUUCAUCCAGAUAUAUUUCCUAGUACUGGGUCCUCGAUGCUGGGUGUGCGAUUUGUUUAAGGUAUGGAAGUUCUGGUGACCGCUACCUGGUUUCCUAGAGAGCAUGGCUGGGUGACCAUUGCCCAGCCCCAGGCUGGUGACAGACGUGU